GACGAACGCUGGCGGCGUGCCUAAUACAUGCAAGUCGAGCGGACUUAUUCGGGUAGCUUGCUAUUUGGAUAAGUUAGCGGCGGACGGGUGAGUAACACGUGGGUAAUCUGCCUCGUAGUUUGGGAUAACAAGCCGAAAGGUUUGCUAAUACCGGAUAAGUUCAUGUUUAUGCAUAUAGGCAUGAAGAAAGGGGAGACCCGCUAUGAGAUGAGCCCGCGCCCCAUUAGCUAGUUGGUAGGGUAAAAGCCUACCAAGGCGACGAUGGGUAGCCGGCCUGAGAGGGUGGACGGCCACACUGGGACUGAGACACGGCCCAGACUCCUACGGGGGGCAGCAGUAGGGAAUUUUCGGCAAUGGGCGAAAGCCUGACCGAGCGACGCCGCGUGAGGGACGAAGGCCUUCGGUUGUAAACCUCUGUCUGGGGGACGAGAAUGGACGGUACCCCCGGAGGAACGCCCCGGCUAACUACGUG
rnacentral:rRNA from 1 species